GUGAAGUGAGGGGGAGGGAGUCGAGGAUACAUAGGCUACUGACUUUUUUAAGUAGUUGUGUCUUACGCCCUUGGUUUAACCUGAAGUUGUAGGUUAGGUUGCAGACGUUGAGUAAUAAUGUCAACCAAGAUGUUGCUGCCAGCAGCAAGAAUUGCAACGAGAAGGCUAUUGUCAACGUCUGCAGCCGCAAGUGCUCAACAAAUGACUGUUCGUGAUGCAUUGAAUUCUGCACUUGACGAAGAGAUGGCGAGAGAUGAAAGAGUAUUUAUUCUUGGUGAAGAAGUUGCACUUUAUGAUGGAGCAUACAAAGUGUCUAGAGGUCUUUGGAAAAAGUAUGGUGACAAGAGAGUUAUUGACACACCAAUCACAGAAAUGGGCUUUGCUGGACUUGCCGUGGGAGCAGCAAUGGCGGGUUUGCGGCCUAUAUGUGAAUUCAUGACAUUUAAUUUCUCCAUGCAAGCAAUUGACCAGGUUAUAAACUCUGCUGCCAAGACAUUUUAUAUGUCUGCUGGUUCGGUGAACGUACCAAUAGUUUUCCGAGGACCUAAUGGUGCUGCAGCUGGAGUAGCAGCUCAACAUUCCCAAUGUUUUGGUGCGUGGUACAGCCACUGUCCAGGACUGAAGGUGCUCUCGCCCUACUCGUCAGAAGAUGCAAAAGGACUCCUUAAGGCUGCUAUCAGGGAUCCAGAUCCUGUAGUUUGUUUAGAAAAUGAAAUAUUAUAUGGUGUUCAGUUUCCUAUGAGUGAUGAAGCUCUUUCAAAUGACUUCCUUAUUCCAAUUGGCAAAGCAAAAAUAGAGCGACAAGGAAAGCAUGUGACUAUAGUUGCACACUCUAGGGCAGUAGAGUUGUGCCUGCAUGCAGCAUCGCAACUUGCUGGUGAAGGAAUAGAAGCAGAAGUAAUAAAUCUGCGGUCAUUGCGCCCUCUCGAUGAAGAAACCAUUGUCAAAUCGGUAGUUAAAACUAACCAUCUUAUUAGUGUUGAACAAGGAUGGCCCCAAUGUGGAAUUGGUUCUGAAAUCUCUGCCAGGAUUAUGGAAAGUGAAGCCUUUUAUCAUCUGGAUUCUCCAGUAAUCCGUGUAACUGGAGUUGAUACACCUAUGCCAUACUGUAAGACGUUAGAAGAACAUGCUCUACCACAGUCGAAAGAUGUUGUCGAUGCAGUAAAAAAAGUUUUGGGUGUAAAGUAACUGCUUUCGUUUUGCUGUCUUCCGUUGCCACGCCAGACUGAUCAGUGAGUGACUGGAUGGAAGCCUUCAACCCGCUUACCGAUUUUACGUGAAGCUGGGGACAUAAGCAGUGUGACGUGCAUAAAUUAUUGAAUUCCGUGUGAAAUGAUGAACAUUUGUUAUAUAGUUUGUUAAAAAUUUUAUUGUUUGUUGUCUCGUUUGUUGUAAAUGUGAAGUGAUUCUCACAGUGUGGCUGCAAUUACAGAGGAAUUUGUUAUGUCGCUUAAAUUAAGUCUACCUCAUAGGCAGCAAAUGAACACUUGAUAUUAUGUAGACCAAUUUUUCACAUGAUUCCUGUGUAAUUUUUUUUUUUUACUCGGAUGAGCAAAACAGCUGCAGAACAAGAGUUACACGUGUUAGUGUACUGUCACUGCGAUUUCAGGUGCGGCUUGAAAAUUGUAAUGUUCUGGAUGGAAAGACAUGCAUAGUAGUUGGUGAGAAUAGGUAUCAUUAGAGAUAAAUUUUAUGAUAUUAUUUUGAAUCUUCACUGGCUACUGAUGUGAUUAAAAAGUGUUUUUUGCUCAUCAAUAAAUACAUAAAACUGGACUAUA